rnacentral:rRNA from 1 species
GUGUCAGCCGCCGCGGUAAUACGUAGGUGGCAAGCGUUGUCCGGAUUUAUUGGGCGUAAAGGAUGUGUAGGCGGUUAUUUAAGUGUGAUGUGAAAUCCCAGGGCUUAACUUGGGGGCUGCAUUUGAAACUGGAUGUCUGGAGUGCAGAAGAGGAAAGCGGAAUUCCAAGUGUAGCGGUGAAAUGCGUAGAGAUUUGGAGGAAUACCAGUGGCGAAGGCGGCUUUCUGGACUGCAACUGACGCUGAGGCGUGAAAGCAUGGGGAGCAAACAGGAUGAGAUACCCUGGUAGUCCAUGCCGUAAACGAUGAGUACUAGGUGUAGGAGGUAUCGAGUCCUUCUGUGCUGCAGCUAACACAAUAAGUAUUCCGCCUGGGGAGUACGGUCGCAAGAUUAAAACUCAAAGGAAUUGGCGG